rnacentral:rRNA from 1 species
CAAUAGCGUAUAUUAAAGUUGUUGCAGUUAAAAAGCUCGUAGUUGGAUUUCUGGUGGGAGCGAUCGGUCUGGCGCUUAGCGCGAGUACUUGCAUCGUCUCCGGCCAUCCUUGGGGAGAGUCUGUCUGGCAUUAGGUUGUCGGGCAGAGGUUCCUCAUCGUUUACUGUGAAAAAAUUAGAGUGUUCAAAGCAGGCUUAUGCCGUUGAAUAUAUUAGCAUGGAAUAAUAAGAUAGGACUUUGGUACUAUUUUGUUGGUUUGCGCACCAAAGUAAUGAUUAAUAGGGACAGUUGGGGGUAUUCGUAUUCCGUUGUCAGAGGUGAAAUUCUUGGAUUUACGGAAGACGAACUACUGCGAAAGCAUUUACCAAGGAUGUUUUCAUUAA